UAUGAAUUCAUGGCCUAAUGUAC
rnacentral:piRNA from 1 species